CCCUUCCUCUCUUCCUUUCAGCCUCUUCCAUUUCAGUCUCCAGCCCCGGGGUGGACACUCGGAUCCGUGUGGCCUGUUCCUGUCUGGUCUCAGAUGAUGGAACUUCUAAGGCACAGCUAAUGAGACACCUCAAAUGGUGGUAAGAUUGAGUGGAGAUGUGUGAUGCAUCGGACCUGGAAAAACCGCACCCCUAAUGCUCUGGGCCACCUUCACAGCCAAGCCAGAGACAAAACAGGCUCAGCUCACACCAUUGCCUUCUCCCGCGAUGCUCCCUUUUCUCCUCCACCUCGGACAUGGCCCGCCUACAAGGCCAGGAGCAGGGGGCGCCUUUUAAGAAAGUCUCCCCUGAUUACAUCACCCUGACAACACUGGUCUGAUAGCGAGUGUUCUGUGUACACAUCUCAGUGUACACUGGGCUGGCAUUUAUCUAACUAUUCACAUAUGAAUAUCUUCUAAGUAAACAGCGGGCACCUUGAUGAUCAAAUCUGUUGGUUAGAUGUGAUGAAAACCUGUCUUGGUGUCAGAUGGACCUAUUAAAGUUUAU